CUACGGGGUGCAGCAGAGACGAAACCUUUACAAUGCGCGCAAGCGUGAUAAGGGGAUUCUAUGUGCUUUCGUACUGCGAAAGCUUUUUUAGAAUGUAAAAAGUUCUGAGAAUAAGUGGUGGGCAAGACCGCGUGCCAGCCGCCGCGGUAACACCGGCGCCACAAGUGGUGACCACAUUUAUUGGGCUUAAAGCAUCCGUAGCUCGAUAUUCAAGUUUCUAGUGAAAUUUAGCAGCCUAACUGUUAGAAUGGCUAGAAAUACUGAUUAUCUAGAGACCGGGAGGAGUCAGGAGUAUUCCUAGGGUAGCGGUAAAAUGUUAUAAUCCUAGGAGGACUGUCAGUGGCGAAGGCGCCUGACUAGAACGGGUCUGACGGUGAGGGAUGAAAGCUAGGGGAGCAAACAGGAUUAGAUACCCUUGUAGUC
rnacentral:rRNA from 1 species